rnacentral:rRNA from 1 species
UACGUAGGUGACAAGCGUUGUCCGGAUUUACUGGGCGUAAAGAGCGCGCAGGCGGUCGUUCAAGUCGAGUGUGAAAGCCCCCGGCUCAACUGGGGAGGGUCAUUCGAUACUGAUCGACUCGAAGGCAGGAGAGGGAAGUGGAAUUCCCGGUGUAGUGGUGAAAUGCGUAGAUAUCGGGAGGAACACCAGUGGCGAAGGCGGGUCUCUGGACAGUUCCUGACGCUGAGGCACGAAGGUCAGGGGAGCAAACGGG